rnacentral:rRNA from 1 species
UACGUAGGGUGCAAGCGUUGUCCGGAAUUAUUGGGCGUAAAGAGCUCGUAGGCGGUUUGUCGCGUCGGCUGUGAAAACCUGGGGCUCAACCCCGGGCCUGCAGCCGAUACGGGCAAGCUAGAAUUCGGUAGGGGAGACGUGGAAUUCCUGGUGUAGCGGUGAAAUGCGCAGAUAUCAGGAGGAACACCGGUGGCGAAGGCGGGUCUCUGGGCCGAUACUGACGCUGAGGAGCGAAAGCGUGGGGAGCGAACAGG